UUAAUUACCUGGAUGGAGUAAAUGGGUGAUCAUGAAGGGCUGUGGCUUAAGUUGGUGAGAGAGCCUACAUCAUAGUUUGUGGUAGUGGGGACUUGCGUAUGAGCAGCCCCCUU
rnacentral:snRNA from 1 species